CAGCCGCCGCGGUAAUACGAAGGGUGCAAGCGUUAAUCGGAAUUACUGGGCGUAAAGCGUACGUAGGCGGCUUUGUAAGUUAGAGGUGAAAGCCUGGUGCUCAACACCAGAACUGCCUUUAAGACUGCAUCGCUUGAACGUCGGAGAGGUGAGUGGAAUUCCGAGUGUAGAGGUGAAAUUCGUAGAUAUUCGGAAGAACACCAGUGGCGAAGGCGGCUCACUGGACGACUGUUGACGCUGAGGUACGAAAGCGUGGGGAGCAAACAGGAUUAGAUACCCGUGUAGUCCCUGUCUCUUAUAC
rnacentral:rRNA from 1 species